UUUAGCCACAAUGAAAGCAGGAACCUUCCAGCUAGCCAUGAUUGGCUGAGAUAAUGAGUGGGCUGGACAUGCCGAGAGAGGAGUUUGGAUUGAUCUGCGGUGUUGUACUUGUGUCUCUUGAAAGAUACCGUAUAACAUUAGCCAUGGAGAACUGCAAAUAUGUUACUACUGCUCUCAAUAACACUUCUGCCCUGAAUUUAUCAGGCGCUAUCAACAAAGGUCAGUGGGAAAAAGUUGUGAUGGACUACUUUCUGGAGGACGAUUGUGCCAUGCUAACUCUCUCUGACUCUGAAAAUGAAUCAGACGAUGAGGAAAUCCCUGAUUUAGGUAAAAACGUUACAUGUGUUAAUAACAAAAGAGUCCAAGUUAAAGCGUGCUGUAAACUAGCUAACGUUAGCGGAGGUUAGAUGGCUGGCUUGCUAACGUUACUUUAUGGAUUGGGAUUUUUGUUCAUUUUUUUAGCUAGCUAAUAUUACAUGUCUAAACAAAAGACUCCAAGGUAAAGCUUGCUGCUUACACCUGAAGCAUGAGGACUUGCUGCGAGUGGUGAACUUCAUCAACAACUAUGCAGAGGAUAAUGCAAUAGUAUUACCAGGAUGCCACCCAGGACACAAACACUUUGGUGGAAAGCUGCUGCCAUCUCAUGUGACAAAGGCAGUGGUGUGGUGUCUCUACAAGGAAUCGAUGACAACACUUGAGGUACAUGUAGUCGGGCUGUCUUCCUUCAGGAAUCUGUGUAGAAAUUGCUGCCCCACAUCUCAAGCACUAAACCGAGGGCAGACCUGUGCUGGCAGUGCCAGAGGAACAACUAUCAAAUCUGCCAGAAGCUGUUAAGUCAGCCAAGCUGAAGAAGCAAGAGCAGCAUCUCCUACUUGUUCAGAGUGAGCGGUCUGUCUACCAGUAGGUGGUUGCUGACUGCAAGACCAGUUGUCAAGACCUGCAGUUGUCUCAGUGGGCCCCUACUGAACCAGGAAGCAAAGACAUCAGGAUGCAUUGCAUCUUUAAUUUUGCUCAACAAGUGCACUAUCCUUCUGACCCUAUGCAGCCAGGUCCAAUCUACUUUUUAACUCUUCGCAAGUGUGGCUUGUUUGGUGUCUGCUGUGAAGGAAUACCACAAGUCAACUACUUGAUUGAUGAAUGCAUGUCAUCCAGUAAAGGCAGCAGUACAUUCAUCAACUACAUGCACCAUUGUUUCACCAACUACAGAGUUGAGGAAACACGUGUGGACCUGAAUUGUGAUAACUGCAGUGGCCAAAACAAGAACAAGUUUGUGCUCUGGUAUUGUGCCUGGUGGACCAUGCACUAGCUCCACCACGGUCUGGACCUUCACUUCCUGAUCACAGGCCACACCAAGUUUGCCCCCGACUGUUGCUUCGACCUCAUCAAGCAGCGCUUCAGAAAGACCAGAGUGAACACUGUCUGAGAUUGCUGUCCUUCACAACACCAGCACUGUGACGGGUCAACAUCCCACAGCUGGUUGGACUGGAGGAUGGUACGGUGCUGGUGGAAAGCUAUGGCUGGCAACAACACCUAACUUCGUACGACUCCAUACUUCAGGCCACUGCCACAGAUCAAGCAGUACCAGCUCUUCAGCUUCGAUGCUCUGGAGUCUGGUGUUGUCGCCAAGGAGCGUUUGGUUGGAGCGCUCAGUUGGGACCAGGUUUCCAACGCUGACAUUCUUCCUCCCAUAGGAAGGAACGGGCUCUCUGAAUAUAGAUUCCUUUGUUCAUGCGUGGUUCGGAUGGACCAGUCAUUAGCACUACCUCUAUUCAAAUGACUCUCAACACACGCCGUCCAUUGCUGCUACAAUUUUUUUUAUCCUGCUGCUAACUCUUGUCUAUCACUGAUAUCGUUAUUGGUAUUGUUCUUGUACAUACUGUAUAUUUUAUGUAUAUUGACAAUAUAUCUAUUUCUGAUAUUGCAAGUAACCAUUUGGCUGUACCGUGUACACCUUCUGUAGAGACCAGUCACUUAGCAAGACUUAGCAAAAUAUUGAUAUGUGUGGUCGUAACAUGAUUUGACAUACCACAAAAAUAUGUGACCGUAUCACAUGUCCACCACAAAUAUGGCGCAUGAAUCUGUUUAUGUACUGUACAUGUGCACCUCAUGCAGGUUUCAACUCAGGUUGCAUGUCCUUAACUUAUGUGAUAUGUGUAACAGUAUAUAAAGUAUGCUAAUGUACUGGU